AGAUUCUUGAUGAUACCAUCCAUCUGAGCCAUAUCAACUUCUCCCCUUAAUCACUUAUCUUCCCAAUACUUGCAGUUGUUCUUCAACUCUUGGUAAGCUUGAUCAUAAAUCCCAUUCUUCAUACUCUUGAUUUGUUCAUAAGCCCUUCCUAGCUGGAAUUGCUCAUGCAGAUACCCUCCGUAUACCUCCUCCUUCUCUAUCUUCUCACGAG
rnacentral:lncRNA from 1 species